CUGAUGCUCAGUCAGCACCGAGACAACAUGGUGGUUGCAGCUUUCUGCUUCAGACUGUUCAUGCUUGGAUUCAUUCUGCUGGGUGCACAUGUUGAGAACAGAGAUGCAGCUUUUCGU